rnacentral:rRNA from 1 species
UACGAGAGGCCCAAACGUUAUUCGGAAUUACUGGGCUUAAAGAGUCCGUAGGCGGCGCGGAAAGUGGGGUGUGAAAGCCCUCGGCUCAACCGAGGAAUUGCGCUCCAAACUACCGUGCUUGAGGAACCUAGAGGUGAGCAGAACUGAUGGUGGAGCGGUGAAAUGCGUUGAUAUCAUCAGGAAUACCGGAGGCGAAGGCGGCUCACUGGGGUUUCGUGACGCUGAGGGACGAAAGCCAGGGUAGCGAACGGG